rnacentral:rRNA from 1 species
GACGAACGCUGGCGGCGUGCUUAACACAUGCAAGUCGAACGGAAAGGCCCUGCUUUUGUGGGCUGCUCGAGUGGCGAACGGGUGAGGAACACGUGAGUAACCUACCCUUGACUUUGGUAUAACUUCAGGAAACUGGGGCUAAUACCGUAUAGGAUAUCCUGCUGCAUUGUGGGGGUUGGAUAUUUUCGGCGGUUGGGGAUGGACUCGCGGCUUAUCAGCUUGUUGGUGGGGUGGUUGCUUACCAAGGCUUUGACGGGUAGCCGGCCUGAGAGGGUGACAGGCCACAUUGGGACUGAGAUACGGCACAGACUCCUACGGGAGGCAGCAGUGGGGAAUAUUGCACCAUGGGCGGAAGCCUGAUGCAGCAACGCCGCGUGCGGGAUGACGGCCUUCGGGUUGUAAACCGCUUUCGCCUGAGACGAAGGGUGAGUGACGGUAAUGGGUAGAGAAGGAACGGCUAAAUACGUG